rnacentral:lncRNA from 1 species
UGAAAUCGGUAGGGUCUUGCGGAGUAAGCCUCGUCAAACUAAAUACGAGUGGAAAAAAUUACAUGAUAGCCUUGAGUCUGAAUUGAGAAGCGGUGGUGCCCUUUCAGAUAUUAUGAGAGUGUUUUCUGCAAGUUACAAGGAUUUACCUUACCAUCUCAAGUAUUGCUUCUUAUACAUGAGUAUUUUUCCUGAGAAUAAUCCAGUUAAGCGAAGAAGACUGAUUCGGCUAUGGAUAGCUGAGGGAUUUGUAACAGAGGAGAGAGGCAAGACUCUUGAAGAGGUGGGGGAAGAGUACCUGAAUGAGCUUAUUGGCAGGAGUCUGAUAAAGGCAAAUGAAAUGGACUUUGAUGGAAGGCCAAUAACUGUUGGAGUCCAUAGUCUCAUGCAUAGGAUAAUUCUCUCAGUUUCACAAGAGGAGAACUUCUGUACUGUUUGUGCAGGACCAGAAGGAAACUUGACUGACAAACCCCGGCGCCUAUCCAUCCAGACGGGAAACUUUGAUGUGUCUCAGGACUUAACCUGUGUUCGAACUUUUUUCAGUUUCAGUACAGGUAGGAUAAACAUUGGUUCGAAUUUCAAACUAUUGAAGGUUUUGGACAUACAAAGCACUCCUUUGGGAAACUUUCCAAGUGCCAUUACAGAUCUUGUGCUCUUGAGGUACUUGAGUUUGAGGAAUACAAAUAUAAGGAGCAUCCCCAAAUCCCUCAGGAACCUACGGCACCUUGAGACCUUGGAUCUUAAGCAGACUUUGGUAACAAAGGUACCCAAAGCAGUCCUACAAUUGGAGAAACUUCGCCAUCUGCUGGUUUAUUGCUACAAUAUGGAAAGUGCACCUUUUGAUAUUGUUCAGGGGUUCAAGGCACCAAAGGGGAUCGACGCAUUGAAGAACCUACAAAAGCUAUCAUUUGUAAAGGCGAGUGGGCAGCACAGAAUGAUACAAGGGCUCGACAAUCUUACGCAGUUGAGGAAGCUGGGCAUUGUAGAACUAGCAGAAGAACAUGGGGCGAGUUUGUGCCUCUCAAUUGAAAAGAUGCCAAAUCUCCACUCCUUGAAUGUAACCUCCCUUAAUAAGGAGGAGCUUCUGGAGCUUGAUGCAAUGACCAAUCCACCGCCCCUUCUUCAACGCUUGUACCUCAGAGGGCCGUUGGAAAGGUUUCCACGGUGGGUAUCUUCUCUACAUGACCUGGAGAGAAUACGCCUAAAAUGGUCUUCACUCACAGAAAACCCGAUUGGAGCUCUUCAAAACCUCCCAAAUCUGACAGAGUUGCAGUUGCUUGAUGCAUACACUGGAACCCAGUUGGACUUCAACUCGGGAAAAUUUCAGAACCUUAAGAUAUUAGACCUUGAGCAAUUGAAACAACUGAGGUUUAUCAUAAUGGAAGAUGGCACAUUGCCUUGCCUACAAAAGCUGAUCAUAAGGCAAUGCAAUGAGCUGGAACAUGUCCCCGUAGGUAUUGACGGGCUCCAUCAUCUCAAUGAGUUGCACCUCUGCGAUAUGCCUGAGAAAUUGGUGGCCCAGCUGAAGAAAAACGGUGGUCAAUUUCGCCAUUUGGUUCACCAUAUUCCGUAUAUUCAUUCAUAUAACCAGGGCCAGUUGGAAGAUCUUUCUUGAUCAUUAUACAUCUAUGAGGAAGAAUCAGGUCUGUAGAGCAACCUGAAUUCAUCAUUUCCUUCUUCUAGGUUACCCAAAACGUCCUCUUGGAUUGCUAUUUCUUUACUAGGAUUGCUGCAUUUUCCUAGGAAACUAUGUAUGGUGCAGUUGAGUAUGUUUAGUGUUUUUUUAAUUUUUAAUUUUUAGCUUUCCAAGUAAUAUGCUCAGCAUACAAUUCCAUAUUGAUCUAAAAUUAGCAUGAUGGGUCUAUAUGAAGAUAAUUUGCAAGGAAUAUUGGUUGUGUUUGAAAAUAGUUUUAUAUUCUUUACAAAGAUAACAGUUUUUUAACUUAAAAAACGCUUUCAUCUUCAUUGCAUGAUGGGUUUAUCUAAAGAUCUCUCAAGUCAAACAUCAAUUUGCAAGGAAUACCGGUCAUGUUUGAAAAUAGUUUUAUAUUCUUUCAAAAAGAUAAAUUAAACACUGCAAGUUUAAAAAAUAAUUUGUUUUUUAUAUCUUUAAGAAUUAUUUUUGAAAAAAAAAUCUCUAAAUCUUAAAACACCGCUUUAGCUUAAAGAUGACUUUUAGAAAAUUUUACAACUUUUCCUAAUAAAGUUUGGUUUAGUUCCAAGAGUAUAUAUAUAUAUAUAUAUAUAUAUAUAUAUUCUUCAUAAUGCUUUUAGAAAGUAUUUUUAAUAUAAAAAACGUUUUUCUAAAAAAAUUAAAAUGUUUCACGAAAUUCAGAAAUCACUUUUAAAAAAUUAAAGAAUUGCUUAUAGUACUUUUUUUUAUAAAUGUUUCAUAGAUGAUUUUUCUAAAAACUCUUUUGAAAAAAACAUUAAAGUAAAAAUGCUUUUGAUAAAAAUAUUAUCAAACAGCUCUAAUUCCUUAUGCUUGAAGCUUCUAAUGCAACUCAUCGAAAGUAUUUUCCAUCUGACUUCUCUACAAAAUGUUUCUUUAAACUUAAAACUAAAAAUCACAUUUUAAAAAAAAUAAUAAUUUCGUGACAUGUAUAGGAUAUGGGAGUUUUGUUCUAACACUAGGUUAAAGUUAAGAAUGCAAAAAAACCCUAACCACCAAAUCAAAUUUAAAUCUUGAUUAAAAAAAAAAACCCUUAAAAUAAAUUUGCUCUACUCUGUCUCCUCCCUCUUACAUUUCUGGCUCCGCCAUUGUUCCACCCUCUCCCUCAUCCUAUAGAUGUACCACUGUAGUAUCUUUGGCAGAGGCUAACUUGAAAAGUAAGAGAGAAGGCUUUUUUUUAAAGGACACUUCUCCACUUGUUUGCCCAAUCAGAAUUUGGUUCUCAUAUCAUUUUUACACAAAUAGUCGUUCCGAGAUUAAAUUUUUCUCAUCUCUUCCUAAUAUCUUUCCAUAAACUCACCCCAAGAGUCUCUGUCACCUCUAGAGUACUCCACCCCCAUCCAUCUCCCCAAAAUUUACCUUGGAUGAUCUUCUUCCACAAACUAUCAUGCUUAUGAGCAAACCUCAACCACCAUUCCUAAUAAGGCCUGGCUUCUAAUUUGGAUCCUCCAAACUUCUCAUCCUUACAAACCAUCAUCUGGCUCAUUAAAAGUACUUUCUGAAGUCCUCCAUAAAAGCCUCUUUGAAUUUUUCAUUCUAAUUAUCACUUGCCAAAGCAUUGGAAAUAGGUCAUGAAAUAUAUUGAAAAACCCAAGAGGGUACCCUUUAUAAGGAUUAAUCUUCCCACCCCACCUAGGUAAAUUUUUUGGGAACUCACCCGUAAGAAAUCUCCAUCAAGCUUGUGCUCGGUGGAAGGUUAAACCUUGGUGCUAGGUGUCUUUCGCUAAGAAAUCGUUUUGAAUAUGUUAGUUUUUAGUUGUAUGGUUAACUAAUGUUGUUCAUUAUUAGGAUAAUUGAAACUGGUAUUCUAUGGAGGGCAUAAAUUAGUAAUAGAUUUAUGAGAAAACUUGGAAUUUCUCUAGUUUCUUUUCUGACAUGCUGCAUGUAAAUGACACAAAGGUUAGCAUAAAUUGCCUUGAGGUAGCAGUCAAGUGAUCCUAUAAGUACCACAAAUACCUGUGAGCUUGGAAAUAAUCGAAGUCUUCCCAAUUGAGAUGACCCUAGGUUCCAAUACAUUAAUACUGAUUUUCUUGAGUUGUGUAUGAUGCUUCUUUUCAUGUUAUUUACGGCAUUGACUCCUGGACUCUCUUGUACAUGCUAGUGGCAUUCAUUAGAAGUUAAGACCACUGUUUUCCAGGGCUUUCGAGCAACAGCAAUAUGGAGGUGGAAUUUUCCUAUGGUACAAGUUUGGAAUAAAUAUCAAUGGGUUCAAGACAAAUUUGAGAAUUUUUUGUGAACCCAAAGCGGGUUUGGAUACGAUGUUGUCCCAUCCCAAAUUAUAUGUAAUAUUAAAUAAAAAUGAUUUUAAUUUAUUUUUAACUUUUUUAACAUAUAUAAAUUUUAUUUUUUUAUAAAAAUAAAUUAUAAAUAUUUAUAAUAUUAAUUUAUUUAUUUGUAAACUAUAUUUAUUUUUAAUAUAAUUUAAAAGUAAAAGUUUUAAAAUUUAUAUGUAAUAUUAAAUAAAAAUGAUUUUAAUUUAUUUUUAACUUUUUUAACAUAUAUAAAUUAUAUUUUUUAUAAAAAUAAAUUAUAAAUAUUUAUAAUAUUAAUUUAUUUAUUUGUAAACUAUAUUUAUUUUUAAUAUAAUUUAAAAGUAAAAGUUUUAAAAAAGAAAUUAAGAAAAGAUAAAUAAAUUGACAAAGUGAAUAUGAAAAUUUCCUAAACGUUAUUUAUUUAUUUAUUUUUCUAUUUUGUGGAGAUGAAAUAUAUAUAAAUAAAUAAGACGAGAUUAGGAUAUGAGUGAACGUCUUAAACCUACCUGUUAUCAUCCAUAACCUAGAAGACUGAGUCCAAUGUUGAUUUUUAAGAUCCGUUUUUGGGUCUGGGUUUGCAGAAAAAACAAAAGACCUAACGAUUUAUUCGUUUGGCCUACAUGAAGUUGAUGAAUGUAACACCUUAACUUGGAACAUGACAGAUCCAUCAAACUCAGUCAAUCUCCACCGUAUAAAUUUUAAAAAAUCACAACAAUUUGGAAUUUUCAACCAUUGAAUUUUCAAAGAUAGAAUAAUUUUAUAUUGUUCCGAGGCCGAUGCUAAAGGGUUACAUAGAACUUUCAAAAUAUCUUUUUUCCCGAGAGAAAAUAUUUUGAAUAUAUUUGGUCCCCAAAACAUUUAAGGGUACUGUGGAUCCCACAUUUCGGCUUAAUGCGUUUCUCACUCGAUGGCGAGCUCGAUUUUUAUUUGAAAAAUUGAUUUUUUAUUGAUUAUUUGAAAAUGACUUGGAGUCGCCACUUAUUUUUGUUUUAUUUUUAAAGAGUAAACAAAAUAAGAAAGAAAAACUCUAAGUGUGACUCCUUAUUUUGGAAAAGACGGUCUAUGAAAAACCGGAUCGAGUUCGGGGGUCAGGUUAUUUAUCGGGAAGGUACGGUAAAGACCGUAGCACCCCUCUAAGUCUUUAAAGUCGGGUCUCUACUAAUGAGAUGAAGCUGACAUGACAAUCAAUGAGAAAAUCAAUGAAUAUUCGAAUCAAUCAUGCACAUAUAAGUAUCAGAAUAUGCAAUAGAGGAUAACCGAAGUGGAAGUGGAUGCGUACCUGAUCAGCAAACGGCAACGCGCUAUCACAAAAUGGGAUUAGUGCAUAGUAAUGAACACAAAGUAUAUCACUCAUAUCACCCAACCAGAUAAAGAAGCACCAAUAUCAUGUAUGACAUUUCAUUCAAUUCCAUUUUUAUUUUAAAGGAAAUUUAUUUGAUGUCGGGCCCCCACCAUAGCCCGUUUUAUUUUGCAUGAACUAAUUCCAUAAAUUCCAUAAUUUGGAAUUACGAAAUUUGAUUCUUGCUUAUUUUUAAAACAUUUUAAAAACAAAACUAAGGAAAAUAUGAAAAUUGCAUGCCAGAGAGAAAAAAGGUAGCAAAAUUUUAUUAAAAAUAGGACUCUUGGUGAUCCUAAAAAUUCUAAGGAUGAAACAUGAGGGAGUUGGGAUUAUUUAAGAAACAUAAAAACCUGAAAAUUAUUUGAAGAAAAAGAUGUUGGAAAGUUAUUUUAAAAAAAACAAAGAUGAGAAAAUGGGAUAAUGGCACGUGGCUCUAAGAUAGCAUGCCAAAGGUGGCCAUGCAAAACUUACCUCUGAGGUUUGACUGGAUGCAGACAUCCCACUGCAGUUACUGCAUCCCGAAGAUAUGACACGUGUCUAAAAUUGAGAGACUCCGCUCCUUUGCUUCCUAACAAAAACUACCUCGAGAUGCAUAUAGACAACCCCAGAGACCAUAUCAUAGUCCACAUGACCUUCUUUGCCUGCUAUCACCUCUACACAUGCCACCUCAUCCUCCUCUGUCUUGUGAGUUAACAUGGAACCUGGAAUCACUUCAUCAAUAGCUCAGACGCCAGCUUUGUUCUGAGCAUGAACUUCAUCUUUUGUUUCUCGAGAACACGCUGAAAUUGCCUUUCCAUGCUUGGAGCAAUGUCUGGAACAAUGUAUUUAUAUCCCAUGGAAUUGCUUAAAAUCAUUCAGCAUUUCCAAGUCAACUAGUCUCAUUGACAGAAGAAGUUGGUGCAGGCUGGAUGUUAAGGAAAUGGUGAUAUGCACCUCAUGAUAAGGCUUAGGAAGAAUGCUGGAGGAUGCACGCACGUGGGAGAAUAUGGGAUGGGUGAGUGGAAAAUGAAUAGUGGAGGAUGAAUGAUGGACUUAAUGGAUAUUGAAGGGUGUAAACCUAGAGAGAGAAGUGGGUUUAUUGACGUAGCUAGGUGAAUGGUGGGGGUAAUAGGAUGCAGAGAUCAAGAAGCAGGAAUAGCUUGAUUUUCUUUGCUGAAGAACCAGUCAACUUGAUGGAGGAGACGAUCCCACAUAAAAAUAAAGGGCAUGAAAUAACCCAGGUGGGUCCACCGUUCUUGAUGAGACGUCAUUGUUGAGCAAAGAUAAAGUGCCUGUCUCACAUGGAGCUCAUGACCACAACCUUCAGCAGCCAAUGAACAUACUCUCCCAAAGCAGGCAGCAUAAAUACUAGCAAUGGUUCAGACCAAUGAUGGAUCCACGUUGUUCCCCUUGAGAAAAUCAAGAACCCUCCAUUUGCAGCCUCCAAUAUGGAACACGUCCGAGUAGAGCUUCCGGAUAUUCAAUCCAGAAAAGUUCUCAAUUGUCAACGCAAACCUGGUCGACAAGGGAUCUUCUACAGUCUGCGCAUCCACUAUACUAGCAGUAUCUGAUCGCGCCACUUCCAUGGGCUGGGGACCGUCGGCGGGGUCGGUGUGCAAAACAAACAUUUCAUUGUCUUCAUCUAAGGGCGGAAGAGUCAUGAGAGUCCUUAGUGGACAGGAAUGGCCGUCUGAUCGGCAUAUUUGAGACAUGAACUAGAGAGAGAGAGAGCCAGGGAGAAGCAGCCUUUGCAACUUAAACACAAAGGAACUAGUGCUAGCAUAAAUGCCAAAAAUUCCAAUAUUGUUGAAGAUAUUAUCGAACCCAGAGAAAGAUUGGAGCUGCUGAUACUCAUUCAAGAUACCGAGAUAUAACCGCGAGUGCAAUCCUAUCCUAUGACUUCCCUUUAGAAUCAUUUCCACGUAAACACCUUGAUUAUAUAUUAAGCUUCCAUCAGGUAAAUGUACCUGAAGUGAUUUUGUAUCUUUUGAAGGCUAGGUACAGCACGUCAUGUCUUGGGGGUGCAUGAAUCAAAUUCUUCCAGGAAGCAUUAGCCGGACCACGUGAAACAUCAAAGGCUGCACAUAACUCCAUCCCAGACAGCUUUGCCUUGCUGCUUGACAUAGGGUCAAACCCACCUCAACGUUCAUGAUCUUAAUGAACUUGAAUGAUUAACAAUCCCAUAUCCCGAAUCUGAGAUUUCUGGACCAGCUGAUCAAGAGCUCGCAGCAUGACUUUCGAUGCAAAUUCAGCAUCACAGUCAUCUCCUCCAUAAAACUCUUGGCAAGUUUUCUGUCAACACGGGUUGGGAGUUUCCCAUCAGCUUGGGGAUUUCCUAGCUGCCCAUAAACAGGACUUCCCAUUGUAACCCGGAAGACCCGUAUCAACAUUUGAUCCCUUGGAAUGCGCACAUGAUCAAAUCUUAAAACUCCAUUGUCCAUGUUGUAAUAUCCUCCAUUUCCAAAUUCAUACCAAUAUCACCGAUAGUUAUGCCCAAAAAAGGUAAAUGAUCAUCCAUACAUAUCACCCUGCAUAUUGCUAAUCUCUGUUCAGUGUAGCGCAGGGCCAACAUAGCCAGCAGUUGCCUGGUAGAGUGCAAGUCCAGGGUAAACAAUGGCUUCUUGGGAACCAAGAUCUUCAUUCACAAGAACCCAAUGACCAUGAAAGUCUCGUACAAUGUAAAGCCUUCUUUAUGAUGGGAAAUAGCAGAACGAUGGAGAGAACGGGCCUCAAUGCAUCUCACUCACGAGUCAUUAUAGCCAAGUGUUGAAGUAGAGCAUGCCCUGAUAGCCAGGGGGGUGAUUUGGACCAGAAAUUCCAACCUAGAUUUCUCCAGGGAAGUGCAGACUGCAGUAUCCUCUCUCCUCUUUCAAAGGUAUCUCUUCUCUCAAAACCCAUAUAAGGCACAGGAUCCAGUAACAGAGGUGGCCUCAACCAUAAAAAAAAAUGCAUGAAAACAGAGCACAAAGGGAAACAAAUAAAAAGGUCAUCAAAGGAAGAUUCACAUCAUGAGUCAUCAGUGAACCUUCCUAUUAGGUGAGGAAAAACAGCAUCAAAUGCAAAUAUUGGUGGGGUUCUCGGGCAUUUCAUAGUCACAAAUAGAAAUAGAACAUAUUAAGAUUGACAAUGCAGGUAUGAAUUCAGGAUUAUAUCUCAACAAGCAACAAGUGGCUUCAUUAUCCACCCCAAGCAAAACAACAAAUAUCCAAAUAUCAACAAGCAAUGCAGAGGGAUAGCAAGGAUCCAAAUCAAACAAUAAACCUAUUGCCUUCAUACCUGAGAAUGUCCUUCUCCAGUGAGGCUCUCUUCUUCUACAAACACCUCAAGUUCCCCUUUAAAAUCAACAAAACUAAUGAGACAGCAGCACCUCUUCUACUCGCCAAACGCACAGCUCUCUUGCCUCAAACUUGCCUCCCCAGCCAAACUUCCCCCCUCUGAAAAUAUCUCUCAGACCUGCAUCCAAAAGCCCCCUCUCUCUCUCAUCCGCUCCUCCUCUCUGCCAGAAAACAGCAGUCCAAAAAAGCACCACUACCUCUCACAGUUUGCUGCUCCUAGCUCCAGGGAUCCUCCCCCUCUCUUGGAAACUUCUUCAAACCUCUUCCCCUCUCCUUGCAGAAACAGCCAAAAGCACCCUCUUCACCUGCAGGAGAAGCUCCCCCUCUAACAGACUCUGAACGCCCCCUGCAUAUCCUCCUCCAGGUGUCGCCUCCUGAUAGCUCUUCAAAAAGCAAUAUCUGAUUCCAUAGCAGCCAAUUAAAGGACGCCAUGUGGUCUCCUGGGGUUGCGACACUUGGCAAAACAAGCUGCAUGAAAAGUGCAUGAAACCGAGUCCCAAAAUGGGGGUCUACAGGUACACAUAGGGAAAAAAAUAUGAAAGAAAGAAAAAGUAAAGAAAAAAAAUAGAUUUAAAAUCAAUAAAUUAUUUUUAUAUAUUUCUUUAAAUUAAUUUUACUAUUUAUUUUCCUAAAUUAAAUCAUUUUAAAAUACAUAAAUUUCUAAUUAAUUUUUAUUAUAUUUGAUUUUCUUUUGUAUAUUCUUUUUAUAGUGAAAUUAAACAUAAGAAAAUCCGUUUUAUUAAUUUUUUUAUCUUUUACUUUCCAAGAACCUAAACUAGUACUAAGAAGCUAUAGCCCAGGUUUGAAAUAUUGCUAAAUACGGAUAUAUUGAUACUUGAAUUUUAUUUUACAGAUGUAGAAGAGAAAUAUCGAUGGAUAUUUUGACAAAAAUAUCGGUAAAAGUAAAAAUUAUUUAAAAUUCAUGAAAAUAUUUGAAAAAACUCUAAUAAAAAUUCAUAUUUUAAAGUUAGUUUUGUAAAUGUAAUUUACAUAGAUACUGUUAUGAAGAAAAAUAUCUAUAUGGAAUGAUAUAUCGGUUUUAAUAUAUAAUUUAUUAUUUAAAAUCAAAGAAUAAGGAAAUAAGAAGGAUAAUACUAUGCACAUACACACAUGUGCUUUUUUUUUUUUUUUUUUUUUACAUAUAUACAAAAUGUACAUGCUCUGAACGCAAACCAAGAAGCCCCAAAGACGAGGUCAAAAAUGGACAAACAUGCUCUCAAACGUCAAUGUAAUAUAAACUCUCUCUGAUGAUGUGACCUUCUCAAACUAAGGAUUCCUGGAUCAACGUCCGUAGGAUAGAUAGUGGAAAAUGACAUGACUACCCUCUAUGUAAUGAACUGAGGAUGAUCACCACUCGAGGUGGGAGAAGAUGAAGUGGAACAAACGAUAGAUAUAAUAAAGAAGCGGAUGAAGAACCAACGAGAUGUGAUGAAAUGCAAUGACGCAAUGAUAGGAAAAGAUAAUGAGAAAGAUGUGCCCCUUGGUCCAAGGUUCAUGAAACUCCUAAACAAUGCAUGCAUACACUGAAGGGCCCCUAUCCCGGUGUAGAAGGUGAGCAAGGCUAUAAGAAAUAAAAGGUUAUGAUGCUCAUGCGAGGCUCAAAGGGCUAGCAAUGGUCUAGAUGUCAAUAAAGGUAAUAGGGUGUGAGUUAACCGAAAUGAAGGUCACCCAUCCUGCGACCACAGUCUCAAACAUCGUGCUAUCAAGCCCUCAAAUGAUCAAUACUAAAGAUCGAUGUCCAUCUGAUAUAACCACGUCAACCCUCUAGAAUCAUGCACCAACCGUACUCCAAAUGCUCCAUAAUAAUCUCAAAGAUGAUCCUCUCAAAGCAAAGUGAACGGUGAUCUCAUCAGGCACGACUGCCUAUCACAAGCCAACCCUCAUCAUACAAGAUCAAUCUCUAUACUCAUGGCAAAAUAAGUGACAGUCUCAUCAAGCAACCGACCAAUCCUCAUAUCGUAAACCAUCCAAAGAUCAUAAGCUAUCCCUCGCCAUGCAAGAACAACCCUGGGCUCAAACUCCUCACACUCUACUUGGUCGGAUCAGAGAGGGGAUGUGCAAAGCUAGAAAAGCCGAGGAUGGAAAGGUCAUAUAAUGGUAUCAAGGGUGAUGUUGUGCAAAGCUCAUAAUGGAUGGAUGUAGGUCAAAACAGAGUCAAGGUGUGGGAAGUGAGCAAGGUACUGCUCUGAUCAUAAGAAGAUGUGUCACAAUCUCGAACUCCCUAAGUCAAAUCUCUGAUCCUAGGCUAAUAGGCUCAAUAUCCUCCAUGACAGGUCAAGCCUCAAGACCACAAUGUGCAAGUGAAGAGAUGCCUCAAGUCAAAAGUACAACACAUCAUAUCACAAAACACAAGCAUAUGUCCAUAAAGGAAAAUGCAUCCAAUGGGAUAAUCGAUGAGUACAUCAUGCAAAAGAAGGAUAAUAAAGACAAUACUCAAGAAACGAGUUAUAGUCUCUAAAUGUCAAAAGCAAAACAAGAUUAAACAAACAAAAACAAAAACAGUGACUGGUCCUGUCAUCACAUCUCUGGCCACAAAAGGAACAAAAUUUGAGCGCCACUGUACCAAGGCAAGCCAAUCAUGAGUCAAUCGCCCAAAUCAAUAAGAUCAGGGACUGCUGGUGAAGGAGCGUCUACAUGCAUGGCCAGAGCUGAGAUAGGAAUAGGAAACAUAUCAGACUGAAGAUGCCCAAACGUCCCAGAAUCAACAAUGUCAUGUAUGGCAUGUUUGAAGAGCAUAGCAUCCUUGUUUCAGAUGAGAAUGUGAUCAAUGAUUAUACACUAAAGAUUCAUAUAAGUUUUGAUGUGGAAAAUGGACUAAAAGCUGCCGAGUAUAUUCAUAAUGCUAUAUCAAAGUGGUUCCCACUUCGGCCAUGGUGUUUGACCUUGAAAAUUCUUCUAUAGCAGUGAGAAUUGAAUAAGACAUAUUCUGGCAGAAUUGGUUCUUAUGUCCUCUUUGCUAUACUUCAACCAGCAGAUGACCAAUGUGGCACUCAUAACCGUAGCCAAGAACUGCCCAAUUUUACACGCUUCAGGUUGUGCAUUCUGGACCCUACACAAACUGACCCAUUAACAUGCUCGCCACCACCUACAUAUUUUCUUAAUCGUCAAACAGCAAGCAAAGCUGUCCUCAAGCCGCCGGCGGCGAAACGCCUCCGCCAUCAUCAAAGCACCAGUCCAACCAUACCCAAAUUUCUUUCUUUGUUGCUUCCUGAUGUAAAAGCUCCUCCAUCCAUGCAUCUUAUGAAGGUAACAACAUCCCAUUAUCAAUCACGACUCAAGCAAAGCCAUUCCCGUCAUAGCCUUCAUUCUCUCUGCAUUCCUCAUACCCACUCCUCUCUAAACCUUCCCAUGCAUGCCACUACUCUGUUAAUACCCACAAACCCACUGCUCAUGGCCGAUACUCCCCUCAUUACCUUCCCUCACUCAUCCAUUCUGCCAUUAAGUGCACACUUUCUUUGGUAAGGCUGCUCACCUUGUUGACAACACCAACCACCAGGGCCACUUCCAAAAGGUGUUGACUGCCAUUGGGAACUUCUGUAUAUACUCCAUUGCGUUUGGCAUAAUAGUAGAAAUAGUGGUGAUGUACCCAAUUCAGAGAUGCAAGUACAGGGAUGGGAUCAAUAAUCUUUUGGUGUUUCUCAUUGGAGGAAUACCAAUAGCCAUGCCAACAGUGUUGUCAGUGACAAUGGCCAUAGGCUCUCACCGUCUGUCAAAGCAAGGUGCUAUCACAAAGAGGAUGACAGCAAUAGAAAAGAUGGCUGGAAUGGAUGUUCUUUGCAGUGACAAGACUGGGACUCUCACCUUCAACAAGCUUAUAGUGGACAAAAGCAUGAUUGAGAUAUUUUCAAAGGACGUGGACAGUGAUGUGGUGAUUCUGCUUGCGGCUAGGGCUUCCCGGGUUGAGAAUCAGGAUGCCAUUGAUGCCUGCAUUGUGAGAAUGUUGGCUAACCCCAGUGAGACAAGAUUCAGGGAACCAGGAUAAUGUCCAGAAUGAUGUCUUAUUGCAAAAUGCCUCUGAAUUUAGUAGUCAGGUUUAUCCACACAAGGGAGGGCCAAAUCUAAAAAUAGAUUCCUGUUCUACUAAUUCAUAGGAAGAAGAACUCCUAGUGCAAAUUCAAAGUUCUGAAUUUUUAUUGCUUCCCUACAAGGAAGAAACAUCAACUGUUGUAGAGAUCACAACAGGAUAAGUUGGGCCUUCAAUAGUUUCAGGCUCCAAUGAAGAGUUAUUGGAUUUUGAUAGCUGGUUUAUAAGGCUUCUCAUUCAUAUGACCACCCCGGGGUACCUCUGAUCAGUCCUCGCCCAUCAUCAGUUUCAGUAUACCGAUGAUCUCGCAGUAUUCAUCACUCCGGCUCCGUUGGGAUUUUAGAGAAGGCAUGCAACUGGUGUUCAAGGUGCACCAAGUUCAGAAUCCCACUCUGCAUGGCCUACAUGGCCGUCUUUGGGCCUUAUGUUCUUCUGUCAUUACUUCAUCUUUGUUUUCAAAAUAACUUCCUAAGCUCCAUCUUGCCUAUGAUCUUCCAAAUUUAAUUCUCCCAAAUAAUUUCCAUUCCUCCUUUUUCAUCCUUAUCAUUUUUCUUAGGCUUCAAAAACCCGAUUUUCAAUAAAACUUGGCCACCAUUUCCUUUCCGGCGAGCCACAUUUGAAUUUUCCGUGAUUUUUAUAAAAUGUUUUAAAAUAAGUGUGAAUUUAUUUUCGCAAUUCCAAGUGAUGGAAUUUGCGAAAUUAAUUCACUCAAAAUAAAAUGGGCUUUGGUGGGGGCCCGACAUCCAAUUAAUUUCCUUUAGAAUAAAAAUGGAAUUGAAAUAAUGUCACGCAUGAUAUUGGUGCUUCUUUAUCUGGUUAGGUGAUAUGAGUGACAUACUUUAUGUUCAUUACUAUGCACUAACCCCAUUUUGUCAUAGCGCGUUGCCGUUUGCUGAUCAGGUACGCAUUCACUUCCACUUUGGUUAUUCUCUAUGUAUAUUCUGAUACUCAUAUGUGCAUGAUCGAUUCGAGUAUUCCUUGAUUUUCUCAUUGAUUGUCAUGUUAGCUUCAUUUUAUUAGUAGAGACCCGACUUUAGGGACUUAAAGGAGUGCUACGGUCUUUACCGUACCUUCCCGAUAAGUAACCUGACCUCCGAACCCGAUCCGGUUUUUCACAGACCGUCUUUUUCAAAAUAAGGAGUCACACUUAGGGUUUUUCUUUCUUAUUUUGUUUACCCUUUAAAAAUAAAACAAAAAUAAGUGGCGACUCCAAGUCAUUUUCUUAACAAAUAAAAAUCAUUCUUCAAAUUAAAUAAAAAUCGAGCUCACCAUUGAAUGGGAAAUGCAUGAGCACGAAAUGCGGGGUCCACACUUAUCAAAUUAAUUUUAAUUUAUAAAAUAUUAAAACUUUAUUAUUAUCAUUAUUAUUUAUAUUUUAGUUUUUUAAAAUAAAUUUAUAUUUUUAAUAUUUUAUAUUAAAAACAUUCAAAAUUAAAAGGAUAAAUAUAAAAAAUUUAAAAGUGAAGUCAUAGUAAUUUUUUAGAAUAGAAUUAAUGAGAUAGAUUAUGAUACAUUUAAUAUUAAAACUAUAAUUUAUGUAAUUCAAAUAUAUUUAAUAAUAUGAAAUAAAUGAUAAUACAUAUAUGAUUUUUUUAAUAUUUAUAUUUUUUAUAUUUAAUUAUCAUAUAAAUAAUAUAAAAAAGACUUAUUAAAAAAAUUAUAAUAUUAAUUUUUAUAUUUUUAUUAAUCAAUUGAAUAUAAUUUAAAAUAAAAUAAUUAAAAUUAAGUUUUUUUUUAAUGAUGAACUUGAAUAUAUAUUAUCAAAGAGCAUCAUAGUUCAGUGGUAGCCGGGAUUGAAGCAAAGUCAAGGUUCAAAUCUCCCAUAAAAGUAAAUAAUCGAUAUUUCAAACAUUAAUCAAAAUAAAGAUAGAGAAUUAAUAAUUAUUUAUAUGGAGAGAGGAAAAUUGUUCUCAGGGCCACCCACUUCUCUCACUCGGGCAUCAAGAAGCUCUCUCCUGAAGUUGCCCUCCAGACGGGAGAAUCCAAAGGCCCUAUUUUCCUCUGCCACUCUCAAUCCUCGCAGGUACUAAUCUAUUCAUGUUAUUAUUAUUAUUAUUAUUUUUCUGCAAGCCCCGUUUGAUCCCCAAGAAAAUCCAUCCCCCAUUCGAUUUCCGGGAAAAUUCAUCCUCGUUUGAUUUCCGAGAAAAUCCAUGCAAAACCCCCAAAGAAAACCAAAAAAUUUGCUUUUUCUUUGCUCCCUGUGUUUUCUGGAUCUGUUCUAGGGGUCUCUUUGCUUUUGUGCCAUUGGAUUUAAAAAUUUCACGAACCCUAAAUCCACGAUUUUUGAGCCAGGCUGAAAAACACAACCUUUGCCUGCAAAUCCACGAUUUAAGAGUUAUAUUUAGUAUUUUUGCAGUCAAUGAAUGUGCCGCCACAUGUUUGAAUCAAAAAAAAAAAUUAACUUCUGCUAAAAUUCAUCAAAUAUUGGAACUUCAAAAACCAACAACUUGUUUUUGCCAAAGCAAAGGAUUGAAUAUUUCCUUGGUGGAUUUUUGGGAACGGAUCAUGCACCCACAAGAAAUCUCCAUCAAGCUUGAAGUUUUCUUAUUCGAAGGUUGAUCCUUAGUGCAUGGGGUCAUUCAAUAAGGUUAAUAAAUUGUCUGGAGGGAGCAGUAAAUGAUAACAUAUAGCCGUGUGCUUGGAAAUAUUCGAAGUCUUCCCAAUGGGGAAGACUCUAGGAUCCAAUACAAUCCUGGUUUUCUUGAUUUAUAUCUAAUGCUUGUGAUCGUAUUAUUUGUGGCAUUGACGCCUGAAGUCUUUUGGAAGUAUACUUGGAUGUGGCAUUCAUCAGUAGUUAAAAUCAUUGUUUUCAGGGCUCCUACGCCAAGCUUCCAAGCAACAUCAAGGUGAAGAGAAAGAGCAUGAACCCAGAUCUAGCUGGAGGGAUGGCAGACAGGGCUGUGUCGUUUCUUCUUCAAAAACUUGGAAGCUUUUGCAAGUAGAGAAUGGAACUUGCAGGAGAAUAUCAGGAAUGGAGUCCGUGAGUUACAAAGGGAGCUGUGGAGAAUAGAAGCCAUGAUGAGAGAUGCUGAUGCAAGGAAAGAUAUGAUAACCGAUUCAACGUGUGGAUUCAAGAAGUUCGCACAGAAGCUUAUGCCAUUGAGGAUGUUCUUGACCUGUUCAGACUCCACUGGGAUCAAGAAUCAGUGUGGCGCCACUUGAAAAUGUGGCACUCCAUUAGCAACCUGAUACAGGAUAUUAACACAAGGCUCGCGAUCAUUAGUGCGGAAACCAACACAUACCUUAAUGUGAGAGUAGUUCCUUUGAUCCCUGGCAGGGGCAACAACACUGUGGGCAUUGACAAGCCUAAAAGGAAGCUGGUUUCUUGGGCAUUGGAGUCGAAUCAGAAACUCAAGGUUAUGUUCAUGGUGGGAAUGGCUGGCUUGGGAAAGACAACGCUUGGCCACAGCGUGUACGAGGAGGUGAAGAUGUGUGGGAAUCCAUUAGACUUGCCUUGCCAGAUGGUAACGACAAUAGAAUAAUUAUCACUACAAGAAGAGGCGAUAUAUCUAAUUCUUUCAGAGAUGAUGAUUCUAUUGAUAUCCACAAGGUUCAGCCUCUGUCACCGCAUUGGGCUGAGCAACUCUUCUAUAAGAAAGCUUUCUCAGGAGUUGACUGAUGUCCUUCAGGUUUGGAGGAAGUCUCCAAAUCCAUCUUACAGAAAUGUGAUGAUUACCACCUGAGAUUAUUGAAAUCGGUAGGGUCUUGCGGAGUAAGCCUCGUCAAACAAAAUAUGAGUGGAAAAAAUUACAUGAUAGCCUUGAGUCUGAAUUGAGAAGCGGUGGUGCCCUUUCAGAUAUUAUGAGAGUGUUUUCUGCAAGUUACAAGGAUUUACCUUACCAUCUCAAGUAUUGCUUCUUAUAUAUGAGUAUUUUUCCUGAGAAUAAUCCAGUUAAGCAAAGAAGACUGAUUUGGCUAUGGAUAGCUGAGGGAUUUGUAACAGAGGAGAGAGGCAAGACUCUUGAAAGGUGGGGGAAGAGUAC